CUAUUGCCUCGAGUGAGGGCUGGCUACCUACCUCCCCCUGUCCCUCAGCAACAGGCCAGUUCCUGACUGACCCGCUUGGAGGCUGCUUCAAGCACAAGCCCCAUCAAUCCUGAGGCUGUUUAUUAAAGAAUGAAAUGGGACAAGAACUGCUUUACAAGCCAAAGGAUUGCUGAAAGAUUGUUGCACUUUCUAAAAGCAAGUAACCUGAUACUCAUUGUCCCUCCAUCUGAAUAUAUGGCAGCUGUAGUGAGCAUAAAUGAGCACUGACUU